GUUGACAUUUGAGACACACAGAGUGUUGGCGAGAAGAAACUCACACAUCAGUGUCUGUACCGAGCACGGUGGAGGCAAGCCUGGACAACAAAGAGUACUCUUCUGCAUGCAGCGUUAAGCUGAUGGAUCGAGGCCUAGAUUCAGACAGCCGCAUAGCUGAUGUUUUUGGCGGUGUUGGAGGUGGAACUGAGUUGGAGCCGUCAAAUUGGUCUCAUUAUGUGACUCUGUGAUUGGUAGAGGAAGAGGAUAAAGGAUAAAGGAAACCCAAGAGGAAGCUGUUCUCAUUAAAGCUACAGACGUGUUAAACAGCAAGAUCUCAUAAUCCCCGCACUUAGAACCCUGCCCUUCUUCCCUAAACUCUGAAGAAACUCACCCUUCCCCCCUAGGAGUUGAACGAUAUUUAUAUUGUUGUUGACAGAUCCUGUAUGUCUGUUCAGUCAAUAGGUUAGCAUCGGUUCAGACACACAUUUUAAUCAUUUAGCAGACGUUCUUACCCACACAAACACACCCUGGCAACUAAAUCUACUGACUUUGGCUUCAGAAACACUGUAUUGUAUAUCAGUGUCUUAAUUACUGAUGUUCAAAUCAAACCCCAUUUUAUUGGUCACAUUUGGUCACAUUCAGUUUCUAGCUCCAACAGCGCAGUAGUAUCUAACAAUAUCUCACAACAAUACACACAAAUCUAAA